GUUACCUUCGGGUAAUGAGGAUGGCGGACGGGUGAGUAACGCGUAAGGAACUUGCCUCUUGGACUGGGACAACUGUUGGAAACGACAGCUAAUACCGGAUAUUAUGAGAUUCUCGCAUGAGAAACUUAUGAAAGCUAUAUGCGCCAAGAGAGAGCCUUGCGUUCCAUUAGCUAGUUGGUGGGGUAACGGCCCACCAAGGCGACGAUGGAUAGCCGGCCUGAGAGGGUGAACGGCCACAAGGGGACUGAGACACGGCCCUUACUCCUACGGGAGGCAGCAGUGGGGAAUAUUGGACAAUGGGCCACAAGCCUGAUCCAGCAAUUCUGUGUGCACGAUGAAGGUCUUCGGAUUGUAAAGUGCUUUCAGUUGGGAAGAAGAAAGUGACGGUACCAACAGAAGAAGCGACGGCUAAAUACGUGCCAGCAGCCGCGGUAAUACGUAUGUCGCAAGCGUUAUCCGGAUUUAUUGGGCGUAAAGCGCGUCUAGGCGGAAAAAUAAGUCUGAUGUUAAAAUGCGGGGCUCAACUCCGUAUUGCGUUGGAAACUGUUUUUCUAGAGUACUGGAGAGGUGGGCGGAACUACAAGUGUAGAGGUGAAAUUCGUAGAUAUUUGUAGGAAUGCCGAUGGAGAAGUCAGCUCACUGGACAGAUACUGACGCUGAAGCGCGAAAGCGUGGGGAGCAAACAGGAUUAGAUACCCUGGUAGUCCACGCCGUAAACGAUGAUCACU
rnacentral:rRNA from 1 species